rnacentral:rRNA from 1 species
UAGCCCCUUGAAUAUUUAAGGGGUCCCGCCUGCCCGGUGGUCUAAGGCUAAACGGCCGCGGUAUCUUGACCGUGCAAAGGUAGCAUAAUCAUUUGUCUUUUAAAUGGAGACUCGUAUGAACGGCGAAACCUUUUUCAACUGUCUCCCCUCCCAUCCCUUUAAAUUUCUUUCUGUGUGAAGAAGCACAGAUAUAUUAGAAAGACAAGAAGACCCUGUCGAGCUUCAGCUACUAAGUGAACAAACUCCCCCAAGUUAUCACCUUAAAGCUUUGGUUGGGGCAACCAUGGAGAAAAAAAAUCCUCCAGAAUGAACAGAAGAAAACCUUUCACUAUUACCAUUACUAAGAACCAGGAACUGGUACUCGGAAAAAGUUACCGCAGGGAUAACAGCGUCAUCUCCUCUAAGAGUCCUUAUUGACGAGGAGGUUUGCGACCUCGAUGUUGGAUUGGGGCACCCUUAGGGUGCAGAAGCUCUAAACGGUUAGACUGUUCGUCUAUUAAAGCCCU